rnacentral:lncRNA from 1 species
GGAGUCCCCAGGCUUCCACGGGGAACCCUGGUGCCCACGUUCUAGGCUUCCAUCUCCAACACAAUCCAAGUUCUCUGCUGCCAUCCGAGACCCUCUCCGGUCCACCCACAGCUCCUUUGCCUCUACUCCCAAGCCAAGAUGGUCAUCUGGCCUAGACGCUGGCAGCAGCCCACUCUCCCAGAAGUCCAGGUGUGGAAGGAGGCUGAGAAGAGGUGGCUCUCCUUACUACUCUCCAGCCAGACCCCAGCCCCAGCUCCCAGACCUUGCCCUCCCUUGCUAACCCUAUUGACUUCUUAGUCUAUGAGGCGUCGCCAUCCCUCUGUGUCUAUAGCCUGUCGGGCCUUGCCUCCCUCAGAACCCCCCGGACACAACUUGUCCCUAUCCUGCUCGCUGGCCUAAGCCAUCACAUACAUACAUUCACAUACAUUCCUGGCUCUUCUCCCAAGGAACCCACUCUCUCUUCCCUUCCCCCACUGACCUGGAGUCUAUGGAUUCUCAGAAGGUGGCAAGACAAAUCACUUGCCACACCCCACAUCUCACCACCCUGCCUCACUGCUUCAGGCUCAUUCCCUGUGAGCCCCAGAGGUCUCAGGUGAAAAGCGGGACACUUUUGACUCAGGCGGAGAGGGCUAGAGCAGCCAAGUCUAGCCCAAAAGAGAACCCAAACUUCCAGCCCAGCUGACCCCCACCCCCAGUGUUCUGGGCACAGGAGCACAUGGGCUGGAGCAGAGCCAGGAGCGCCUGGACACACACUAUGUCCUUUACACACGCAAGUUUCCGGGCAGAGACUGGAAGACAUCAGGACAUCAUCUCGGGAGCAACCUGAAGACAGAUCUGCCUGUCCGGCAGCAUUGAGAAGGCUGAGAUUCAGUUCUGCUCUGCUCAUGGACAUCUUCCCCACUUUUCCUGACCUCAGGGUGCCUGAUGGAGGCAUGGGCACUCUUUAAGCAAGCUGGACCCUAAACUGCAUCCUGAGCCUCUGCUACUCCAACUCAGUGGGGGGAGGGGCAGGAAAUGCAGGUCCAUUCAAGCUGGUAUGACUACCCAAAGGCUGCCUGCCUGAGUGGGUUACCUUGGAAACGUGCCAACCCUAGAACAAGAGAAGGAAACACAUCUCCCAACAGGGAUGGAAUUUAGAUCCAAGGUGGAAGCUUAGCAGGUGAGUAGCUAGGGCAUGGGGCAGCUAGAGACCACCAGAGACAGAGCAGAGCAGCUGUUAGGGUUUGAGGCAGCUCCUGCCCCUGCUGUCCCCCUCCUACCUUGGGGUAGCACGGAAGGUUCAGCCAAUGGCCUCAAUACUAUGCAGGAAGCCCCUAAGAUAGGAAAAGUGCUGGUGGCAGGAGUCACGGGGGUGGAUUCUGAGAUGCUUGGACUUGCUCCUAGAGAGAGCUGGGUUGAUGUUUCAGUAGAUAAUAGGUAUCUGGUGGAGAAGGCCGCACCCUCCAUCUGACCAUUUGCAGACCUCUUCUACUUUGUAUCCACCUGCCCCAGAAUACUCACUAUAUCUACAGAUUGCCCAACAACACUGGGGCCAGCAGCCCUACUGUGGGUAAGGAUGGAGGAGGCUCGGCUCUGAGCACCAGCUUUGGGUGUCACCUCCCUUCUCUGCAGUCAGGAGCAGCAGUGGCAUUAGACCACUUUAGAAUUGCCUCACUUUUUCUCCUGCUCCUUAGCAUGAUAGAUAGUACAGGCCUCCAACUGCUCUAGAGUACAAGCCUACCUGAUUCCAUGCAGAAAGCUGACUGUUCCACAGGGGUUACCAAGGCCCUGAGAAGACAGCGAGAAGAAGCUGUUCCUGGGGGGGGGGGGGGGGAAGGUACAAUUUCCAGCCCAAUCGCAGCCCUAGCAUCUGACCUCUUCUUCUGAGCUAAAGGAAGUUUUUUAGACUAUAUGCCCCAAGGCCACAAAACCCUUCCUUGCUCUAAUAAGCAACAUCAUCUAUGUAUAUGGCUCCCCAUCUCAAUUCUACCAUCAAACAGUAAAUGUACUUGGGUGUGCUGGAAUGUGGGUCCUCAAGAUACAGGAACCAGGACAUCAGGUCCUGUGACCCAGAGGGUGAGGGCUCACAACACAGUUGAUCUAGAAGCGACCAUGCAGCUCUGAGGUUGUGGCUACCAGGAAAAGCACAGACAGGGACCCAGUGAAAGCCACUCAGUGGAGGGCGGCAUUACAGGAAGCCACAAGGGUCCAGAGUGUCUGGGUGGGGGCUGAAGGCAGGACAAGCUACAAUGUCAAGGAGACCACUAGGCUUCAGAGCAGCAAGGCCAGAAGGGGGCAUUGUUCAAGGACUGGACAGAGAAGCCAGGAACAUCUUGCAGGAUGGUGAGAAGGGGAGGGACGGGGCCACACUCAGCUUUGCUUUUGAAGGCAGAGAUAAGCAGACUUCCGUGGGUGAGAUGGGAUGUGAUGGCCAGAGUAGAGCCUUCUAUAAAUCCCAUGUGAAGAGAGGGAUGGAGGCCUCACAUGAAACCUCCCCACUGAUCCUCACUGAAACCAAUCAACUGCAAAGUCCCUACCAUAUCCUUGAGUUCAGUGACCACAUGCACGAUCUGUCUGGAAGGGAUUCAGGGAUAUACGAGUUGGUCUGUCCAUCAGACAGGAAAUGUGUCACAACUCAGCAGGUUGAGGCCACAGAGCUGAGGAGAAGUCUGCGGCAGUGCACAGGGAAGAGACAUGAAUGCCAGCCUUCCACCUUGGGGAAGACCCAUGGGUCCAUCAAACAGUGACAUACUGAAAUAUCUGUAGACACCUGGGCAAAGUCAGCCCUGUUUGCAGUCCCAUCUGGAGACCGCUCCCUCAACCUGUCAGGGACAGAUGGCUCUGGCGGCAUGAUAGAGGUACAGCUCGGGCUACAAGAAGCUGCUUCCUGGGUGAGACAGAGAAGGGAGUCACUGCCACAGAGGUCCUUACAUCAGAGGGUGUGAGAGAGCAAAAGAACAUAAGCAUCACACCAACAUGGAUGCAUGUCACACAAUGUCACUCUUGAGAGCACACCUCAGAACAUGGGGAAGGCUUCCUGGAAACCCAACGGAAUGGAUGAAAACCCAAAGAGAGUGUGGAUGUGUGUGUGUGACCCUUUUGUAGACUGAAGGACAACAUGGCCUGAGUAACAGUCUGGCACUCGGGCCCCUCCACAUGUAGUGACAUUGGUCACACACUAGAAGCGAUGGGACCAGAAAAUAAACUUUAGGUCACAUUAACUGCCAUACUGUUCGAGGCAGAAAUCGGUAGAGGGGUGUGUUCGCAUGUCUGCAAGGCAUCCUAGAGUGCUGUGUGCAUGCACAGAUUAAAAUCUAGAUAUAG